GAUGAACGCUGGCGGCGUGCCUAAUACAUGCAAGUCGAACGCGCAGCGAGAGGUGCUUGCACCUUUCAAGCGAGUGGCGAACGGGUGAGUAACACGUGGAUAACCUGCCUCAAGGCUGGGGAUAACAUUUGGAAACAGAUGCUAUUACCGAAUAAAACUUAGUAUCGCAUGAUAUAAAGUUAAAAGGCGCUACGGCGUCACCUAGAGAUGGAUCCGCGGUGCAUUAGUUAGUUGGUGGGGUAAAGGCUUACCAAGACAAUGAUGCAUAGCCGAGUUGAGAGACUGAUCGGCCACAUUGGGACUGAGACACGGCCCAAACUCCUACGGGAGGCUGCAGUAGGGAAUCUUCCACAAUGGGCGCAAGCCUGAUGGAGCAACGCCGCGUGUGUGAUGAAGGCUUUCGGGUCGUAAAGCACUGUUGUAUGGGAAGAAAUGCUAAAAUAGGGAAUGAUUUUAGUUUGACGGUACCAUACCAGAAAGGGACGGCUAAAUACGUGCCAGCAGCCGCAGUAAUAC
rnacentral:rRNA from 1 species